rnacentral:rRNA from 1 species
AGUUAGGAAAUGCAGGUGCGUUAAUAGCGCACUUGCUUGACUAAGGCUCCAGAGGAAGCCACGGCCAACUCUGUGCCAGCAGCCGCGGUAAUACAGAGGCGGCAAGCGUUGUUCGGAAUUAUUGGGCGUAAAGAGCACGUAGGCGGCCUUGCAAGUCAGUUGUGAAAGCCUUCCGCUUAACGGAAGAACGGCAUCUGAUACUACAGGGCUUGAGUACGGGAGGGGAGAGUGGAACUUCUGGU